rnacentral:lncRNA from 1 species
AUACUAUCGAUAGCACGGAAACCUCCGUGCUACCAAGUUGUUUUCAAUGAUGCGGCUUUUAAAUCUACGAUCAACUCAGUUAGACUUGAUCUACACUAUUAAAAGUAUUUGGAAACUAAAUUUUAUAAUUUUUCAACAUCAUUUGGCUAAUAAUCAAAAGGUCUUAAAAUUGACAAUUUUAAUGGUAGAUGUAAUGCAUCAGUGAAUNUCCUUGGCUUUUGCAAUUUGCGAAGACGAAAAUAGUAGAAGUUGGCGUUGGUUUUUACAUAACUUGGGGCAUUAUGUUAUACGCAAUCGACCGGUUUGUUUUAUAUCAGAUAGAUUUAGUGGCUUAAAGGAAAUAGUGGCUGAGUUAUAUCCCACUCGACAGGGUCAUGCACACCGGUGGUGUCUUCGACACAUGAAAGCAAAUAUGGCUAAGCGGUUUAAAAAUGAUUCAUUAUUAGACAAAUUUUACUGUAUCGGCAGUGCUCCAACAUCGGUACAAUAUUAUAAACUGAAAGAUGAGUUACUCGCGCUAGAUCAAGAUGCUUGGAAGUGGGUCGAUGAGCUCGAAGUAUACAAAGAGUAUUGGGCGUGGGCAUUUGAUGGAGGUUGAUGCUUCGGGUUGAUGACCACAAAUAUGUCCGAGAGUUUAAAUGGGGUACUUAAGGGAAUUCGUGCUCUCCCAGUAACGGCAUUUGUCGCGGGAGCUUUGAUCGAGCGAUGGAGACGGGAGACCCAGACAUUUCACUUCCGCUACGGUGAGAUGACGAUUACACUUCAGGAUGUGGCGGUUAUUUCGGGUCUUCGUGUCGAUGGAGUGCCGGUCACUGGGACUACAGUGUAUCUGUGGCCAGAUAUUUGUCAGGCGCUUUUGGGGGUUGUGCCGGAUGACAUCCGAGCUAGGCAGAUUAGAUUAGAUUGGAUAUACCAGCAGUUUCAUCAUCUACAUUUGGAAGCUCCGGCUGGAUUAGUUGCAGCCACUGCACGUGCAUAUAUACUAUAUCAGAUUGGCUGUAGUCUAUUUUCAAACCCCACCGGAUAUAGGGUUCAUCUUAAGUGGCUGCCACUUAUAGCGAAUUUUGAUGCAUGCGGCGCUUUAGCCUAGGGUGCAGCAGCACUGGCCUAUCUAUAUCGAGCUUUAGGAUCGGCUGCAUUAAAAANAUAUGUUAGUUGUUCUAUUUUUAUAGUUUUUUUUUUGAGGCUCUUUAUAUGUUUAUACGUGAUUUAAUUCAUAAUAUAUUAUAAUAUGUUUCAGAUUCAAUAGAUUUAGUUUCUAUAUGUUAGUCGGAGAGCUAGCAGGAGAGGGAGCUGCAGGAGCCGGUGCAGGAUCACGUGCCGGUGCAGGUGCAGAUGCCGGUGGGAGAUGUUGCUCUAGUCAUUAUCCAUACAGUAGUUAACGGAGCUAUAGCCAGUAGCGUAGCUCUAGGCGUUAGUAUUACGGGAGCGCUACGAGGCCAUAGCGGACUCAGAGGAGCUAUCACCGGCCAGAUCUACAACCCGCCCGGACACUACUUCUGCGCCGUACUGCAGCUCUUAUCUGCUUACAUUUCACGAGAGAUCUCUGACCGCCGCCGUUUUCGUUCAGGUUCAGGUUACCGGAUCAUCCUUUAGAGAGUCCCCGCCGCCCAUAUAGUCGUUGUAGUGAUCCUCUACCUCUAGGUCGUCUACAGCCACAAACUGCCACCACUACUGGGCUACAGCUACGUACAGGUUUUAGAGCUGGAGACUAUAGUCACCGCUGUCCAUAUCAUCCUUACAUGAGGUCAUGUGAUAGUUCUAGCUAUAAGUAUGGGCAGUUAUGGAGGUAGUGACGUAGCAUUCUACCAGCUAGUACUUGAUCCGAGGACUACCAUAUGACACAGACAGCAUAUCGCAGGUGGAUGUAAUAUCUAUUAUUGAGUGGAAACCGUUAGAUAUUAUAUGUUUUCUAAUUUUUUUUAUUAUUUAUCCGAAUCACUAGCAUGGUUUCGAGAGAGCCAGACCGGUGCUCCGACCAUUCAGUUACCACCUGCGACAUGACCUGCUCUUUAAGUAGCAGAGCACUAGACGGUCAUGGUCAGGUAUAUUUAGCUCCAGCGGACAUGGCCUAGUAGUGGCUGUUAGCCUACGACCAGUUAUUACCGGACAUUAGAUAGAGGGGUAGCGAGCUACACACGUCGUACUUUCACUCGGGUUAGGAGUAGACCGGCGGGGACUCUUCACAUCGCGGCCUACCAGAGGUGGCCUUACUCAUAUACGACCUCCUCUGCUUUGACGGCAUCCUGAGCUAGGACGUGCACUUCGAGUUGCUAUACUUUUGUUUAGUCACAGCAGGCUCUAGCGGUAUGGAGUGACGGGACAUGUGUCUUACGUCCAUCGCGUAGAUAUUAUUGUAGACACAUGCCGGCGGUACAGUAGACACUUUUUCGGUUAUAAUCAGUCGAUUUUAUAGUCAACUUUAUCAGUUUUUUAUCAACGUAAUUAUACAUGGACUCAGAGAGAGACAACCAGAUUGAGUAGAGACAUCUUGAGUUAUAGACAACAAGAUUGCAAACGACGUUUUGCAUUGGGUGGCCGCAAGCAGGUGGAUAAUAAACUUUUCAUAUAAACAAUCAACGUUUAUAUAUAUAUAUAUAUAUAUAUAUAUAUAACUCUAUCUUAUGAGAGUUUUCGUGGUUGAAGAACCACGAAAACUCAAAGAUCGGGAACCUAGAUGAGAAACUAAUGAUUAUUGAAAACCUAGUUUGUGAUAAGGUGGAUGGUGGUGGAUGGUGGUAGUAGAGUUGGGAUGUAGAGAGGUAGAUUACCGAUUUUCGAGUUUUCGUGGUGGGGAAUUACGAAAACUCCCAUAAGAUCGAGUUGAUAUAUCAUAUAUAUAUAUCUCUCACUCCAAUGAUACGAAAACCUUCGUGCCUCGGAAGGCACCAAGGUCCAGCAAAAGCUACAACGCUAAAAGCUUAGCAGCUAGCCGAGGCAAUUUGAACUAGAUCUUUGUUAUUCCACUCGUGAUCUUGUGUUUCUUGUUGAAAAAUUUGUUAUCGUGAAAAAACUUGCAUCAAACUUGUUGAAAUUUUCUUUAAAAUCAAGCUUAAAUCAGCACCUGCAGCUGUUUGUACUAAAGGCGGUGAAUGGUUCACCGUCUUUAGUGCAAAUACACAAAACCGGAAAAAAAAACGGCUAAGUCCUGAAAGACGGUGAAUGGUUUACGCCUAGAUAAGGCGGUAGAUGAUUCACCGUCUUUGUUAAGGCGGUGAACGAGUCACCGUCUUAUCUGUGUUUUAGCCCCCCUCUCGAGGACUUAGCGAAAUUAGGCUGGGUGGAGUUCUACACUAAAGACGGUAAACUUGCUCAGAUAAGGCGGUAAACUAUUGACCGUCUUUGUCAAGGCGGUAAACGAGUGACCGUCUUCCGUAGGCACCCAGCGCCGCGCGGGGAAUUGCUGAGAAAGCCUUGCGCCACGCGGGGAAUUGCUAAGUGGGCGGUGGCCUCGAUAAGACGGUAGACGAUUUACCGCCUUUGUUAAGGCGGUAAACGAGUCACCGUCUUCUCUAGGCACCCUAAGCUACCCUGGGAAUUGCUGAGAAGGCGGUGAUACACGGGGAAUUGCUGAGAAGGCGGUGAAUGGUGCAGGCCUAGAGAAGACGGUGAACCAUUCACCGUCUUCAAAACGUUACACCAAAGACGGUGAACGAGUCACCGUCUUUGUGAGAAAUGAUGAUGUGGCAGCUGAGGUGGCGAGAGGAGGGUUAGUUUCACAAAUAAAAGUUUCACAGGAUUAUUUUGCCAAUUACGAAAUUUCAUAGGGUUAUUUUCGAAAAAAGUCCCCAAGCUGAGUACUUACUCAACUCCACGGCGAACUAGAUAUAUUGGAUUUGACUCCAAUUUGGAGCUAGGCUGGUAUACUAUCGAUAGCACGGAAACCUCCGUGCUACCAAGUUGUUUUCAAUGAUGCGGCUUUUAAAUCUACGAUCAACUCAGUUAGACUUGAUCUACACUAUUAAAAGUAUUUGGAAACUAAAUUUUAUAAUUUUUCAACAUCAUUUGGCUAAUAAUCAAAAGGUCUUAAAAUUGACAAUUUUAAUGGUAGAUGUAAUGCAUCAGUGAAUUUAAUGGUGUAAAACAAUCCAAAUCUAAUGAAAUUUUUAUAGAAAAAUUUUUUCACUAUUUAGAGUAAGAUCGGUACCUCUGAUCUUAAAUUCAAGUCUUUUAUCAUCAUAUUUUAUGAGAUUUUUAUUUUCAGCCGUUUAUUUGUAGACUACUCGUUUGAUAGGUAAAUGAUGCCGAAAAAUUAUGAAAUUUAGUUUCCAAAUAAUUUUAAUAGUGUAGAUCAAGUUUAAUAGAGCCGAUCGUCGAUUUCGAAGCCGUAUCAUUGAAAAUAACUUAGUAGCACAGAGGCCUCCGUGCUACCGAUAGUAUACCAU